rnacentral:misc_RNA from 1 species
UCGGGAUUCUCGAUUAUUCCAUUUUCUGAUGUUAGCAAUGUAUAGUGGUCAAAUAGGAUUAUUUUCUUCUCAAGAUCUUUUACUUUUUUUUAUCAUGUGGGAGUUAGAAUUAAUUCCCGUUUAUCUACUUCUAUCCAUGUGGGGGGGAAAGAAACGUCUGUAUUCAGCUACAAAGUUUAUUUUGUAUACUGCGGGAGGUUCCGUUUUUUUAUUAAUGGGAGCUUUGGGUAUCGCNUUUAUAUGGUUCUAAUGAACCGAGAUUCCAUUUUGAAACAUCAGCUAAUCAAUCAUAUCCUGUGGCGCUAGAAAUAUUUUUCUAUAUUGGAUUUCUUAUUGCUUUUGCUGUCAAAUCACCGAUUAUACCCUUACAUACAUGGUUACCAGACACCCAUGGGGAAGCACAUUAUAGUACUUGUAUGCUUCUAGCCGGAAUCUUAUUAAAAAUGGGGGCAUA